UACGAGGGGGGCGAGCGUUGUUCGGAAUUAUUGGGCGUAAAGGGUGCGUAGGCGGUUUGAUAAGUCUGAUGUGAAAUCUAUGGGCUCAACCCAUAGUCUGCAUUAGAAACUGUCGGGCUUGAGUAUGGGAAAGGUAGGCGGAAUUCCUGGUGUAGCGGUGAAAUGCGCAGAUAUCAGGAGGAACACCGGUGGCGAAGGCGGGUCUCUGGGCCGGUACCGACGCUGAGGAGCGAAAGCGUGGGGAGCGAACAGG
rnacentral:rRNA from 1 species